UACGGAGGAUCCAAGCGUUAUCCGGAUUUAUUGGGUUUAAAGGGUGCGUAGGCGGCCUAUUAAGUCAGGGGUGAAAGACGGUGGCUCAACCAUCGCAGUGCCCUUGAUACUGAUGGGCUUGAAUACACUAGAGGUAGGCGGAAUGAGACAAGUAGCGGUGAAAUGCAUAGAUAUGUCUCAGAACACCAAUUGCGAAGGCAGCUUACUAUGGUGUUAUUGACGCUGAGGCACGAAAGCGUGGGGAUCAAACAGG
rnacentral:rRNA from 1 species